rnacentral:misc_RNA from 1 species
UUUGCUUGCGCAACAACUUCCAUCUCGCAUUCCUCUUCAGUCGUCUGUUAAGGCUUGUAUCGCCUUUGCGGAUCGUUGGGUUUCCUGUGUUGUCUACCUACGUUAAGGUAUUCACUUGAUCGAUCCUAGACUUUUUCAUCAUCUAUCAUUCACUUGAUGAAGGAUGAACCUCGAAGCAGUCUCUGUGUACCACAUUCUCAACGCAUGCGUUAAAAUUGUGGCCCAUUGAGUGUUGCUUGGAUUCAAGGACACAGAACAGGUGUUGGGCAUGGGGUAUCGUUAGAUCCCUGAUUUGUCCUUCCAAUAGCGUUGCACUACUCCUUUAAUGACCUUCCUUAUUUUGUGACCGUAUAUCGGAACUGGUAAGCUCUGUUAUUUUACGAGUAGUGCAACGUGCAUUCCGCUAAGCGAUUUCCUAUUCCCGCCCGGCUAGUACCAACGGGGUAGGUUGUCAAUUAUGAAUGCUACCUGGUUGAUCCU